GGUGAUGAUGAUUGUGUUUACAGCGCGGCCUUACACGUUACACGGCACAACGCGAGCUGAGUAGAUUAUCCACCAAUCAUGAAGUGUUUACGUCGAGUGUCGAUUCUGGAAGCAUAAAUUAGUUGUGCUGUCGGCCGCACGGAUAAACGGACUGCCGGAUAAAAGGUACCCAGAUAAACGCCGAUCCACUUCAUUUCUAGAUUAUUUGUUAUUUACUUUGCCGAUUUGACCAAGAUUAAAUAUCGAUCCACCGGGCCCAGAAACCCUUUCUGCACAACCGCUCUGAACAACAACAUCGUGAGGCUGCGCCCCGCACACCUGCAUUGGGUCAAAACUUUACACACAAAGCCGCAGCUCGCCUGGAACACUGGAACCCAUUUCCUGGAGGAGCUAAAUAAUCGAUGCUCGCAAACGACAGCAACCCCUGUGGGAGUGGGCGACCAUAAAAAAGCGGUAUCGAUGACCUGUUUUUGGUAGCCGCUUUCCCAUGCUAACGGGCGUGUUGCGAUUCAUCUUGGCUUUCUUGGUUGAUUACAAAGAUAAUCGACCGAAUGGUGUGAGGGGGAAUCAUCGUACCCAACGUCCUACGGUUUACUUUGAUCUUUUUAUUCGACCACCGUGUAAAGAGGCAAAAGCUCCUGGGGAGCCGGACAGAUACACGAGAGAGUUUGCUCAUCUUUUGUUGCUGCGCGCUGGGCACACGUGUCUGCUCAUUGAUCCAUCACCAACUCCUCCACCAACUCGGGCGCCUGACGCUCAUUGCUCGAUCAGUGCUCGACGCUAAAGAUUAUCGUUUGUAUGUGGUUGAAGAUGUCGUGUAUUUGAUUUUGCACCUUCGUGUGAAAGCGUCGAGCUAACCGUUUAUUUUGAAUUUUGGAGCGUGUAUGGACAAUUGCAUACUGUUAGGCGCUUACGUUUGGUUUGAAAGCAUCCGUUGACG